rnacentral:rRNA from 1 species
UGCGUAGGCGGUAUGGUAAGUCAGAUGUGAAAUCCCGGGGCUCAACCCCGGAACUGCAUCCGAUACUGCCGUACUUGGGGACCGGAGAGGAGACUGGAAUUCUCGGUGUAGCAGUGAAAUGCGUAGAUAUCGAGAGGAACACUCGUGGCGAAAGCGAGUCUCUGGACGGAUCCUGACGCUGAGGCACGAAGGCCAGGGUAGCGAAAG